CCUACGGGGGGCAGCAGUGGGGAAUAUUGGACAAUGGGGGGAACCCUGAUCCAGCGACGCCGCGUGAGUGAAGAAGUAUUUCGGUAUGUAAAGCUCUAUCAGCAGGGAAGAAAGAAAUGACGGUACCUGACUAAGAAGCCCCGGCUAACUACGUUCCAGCAGCCGCGGUAAUACGUAGGGGGCAAGCGUUAUCCGGAUUUACUGGGUGUAAAGGGAGCGUAGACGGCGAUGCAAGUCUGAAGUGAAAGGCGGGGGCGCAACCCCCGGACUGCUUUGGAAACUGUAUGGCUGGAGUGCAGGAGAGGUAAGUGGAAUUCCUAGUGUAGCGGUGAAAUGCGUAGAUAUUAGGAGGAACACCAGUGGCGAAGGCGGCUUACUGGACUGUAACUGACGUUGAGGCUCGAAAGCGUGGGGAGCAAACAGGAUUAGAUACCCCUGUAGUC
rnacentral:rRNA from 1 species